GCACUAUCAAAAAGUACAAAGUUGGUCCAAGUCUACAAGUAAGAAGAUUUUGAUUGAAAUUUAGCUUUUUUUCUAUUAGCUCCUGAAUUCUUAGCUGCCAUGCUCUUUUUUGUUAAACAUGGGAUGUAAUCAUUCAGCUUAGCACUUAAAUUUUUACCCAUGACAUUAAACAAAGUGAAUGAAAUUCUUUGAAGAAAAGCUGACCAGGAGUGUCCUUCCUCGCACUUUACUCCCACAACGGCCAUAAUGUCAGAGUUUAAAUUGUCCUGCAUCCUGUCAAUGAAUGUGGCAACAAAUGAAGCUCUAGGAUUUGGGGUGCCAAGUAAACUGUCUUUCUCUUCAGGAGUAGCUUUGAUGUAAGAGAACAUGGAGUGAGCAUAAAGACAGGAGAGGUAGAGAAGGUCAACAUGCUGAUUGGUUGGGCUAUCGAAAGUUAUUGAGUCCGGAGAUGUGUCUCUGAUGCCCAUUAACUCAUGACAUGAUGGACAACUGAUCUUCUUCUUCAAAGAAAAACCAAUAUACCCGGCAACAAAGUAGAAAGCAUUAUUCUCUCCCUUAGAAGCUAGUUCCUGGAGGUCAUCUGGUUGCUAAUUCAAAAUGAGCUCAGCUUUUACAAGUUCUUCCAGAGUAAUAAUAUCGGAAAAUUUAAAAAAGUCAAAUAUUGUAAUGAUAUUAUUAUAUUGUAAAAAUAAGUAAUAAAGUAAUAAAGAAGCUUACUAUUAA
rnacentral:lncRNA from 1 species